rnacentral:tRNA from 1 species
UGGCUCAGACGGUAAAGCAUCUGCCUAUAAUGCAGGAGACCCGGGUUCAAUCCCUGG